CCUACGGGGUGCAGCAGUGGGGAAUAUUGGACAAUGGGCGAAAGCCUGGUCCAGCCAUGCCGCGUGUGUGAAGAAGGCCUUCGGGUUGUAAAGCACUUUCAGUGGGGAAGAAAGCCUUGGGGCUAAUACCCUCGAGGAAGGACAUCACCCACAGAAGAAGCACCGGCUAACUCCGUGCCAGCAGCCGCGGUAAUACGGAGGGUGCGAGCGUUAAUCGGAAUUACUGGGCGUAAAGCGCGCGUAGGCGGUCUGAUAAGCCGGUUGUGAAAGCCCCGGGCUCAACCUGGGAACGGCAUCCGGAACUGUCAGGCUAGAGUGCAGGAGAGGAAGGUAGAAUUCCCGGUGUAGCGGUGAAAUGCGUAGAGAUCGGGAGGAAUACCAGUGGCGAAGGCGGCCUUCUGGACUGACACUGACGCUGAGGUGCGAAAGCGUGGGUAGCAAACAGGAUUAGAUACCCGUGUAGUC
rnacentral:rRNA from 1 species